UACGAAGGGGGCUAGCGUUGUUCGGAAUUACUGGGCGUAAAGCGUGCGCAGGCGGCUUCUCAAGUCAGGGGUGAAAGCCCAGAGCUCAACUCUGGAAUUGCCUUUGAGACUGAGUGGCUUGAGUACGAGAGAGGUGAGUGGAAUUCCCAGUGUAGAGGUGAAAUUCGUAGAUAUUGGGAAGAACACCGGUGGCGAAGGCGGCUCACUGGACACGUAUUGACGCUGAGGUGGCGAAAGCGUGGGGAGCAAACAGG
rnacentral:rRNA from 1 species